GUCAAUCAUCAAAUUUUUGAACGCAAAUUGCACUCUCCUCUGAGAGUAUGCCUGUUUAAGGAUCAGCCUAUAAAAAAUCAACAUCGUUGCUGUUUCGCGGUGACGGUCGUCGGAAAUUGGGUCAUCUUAACUCCUUUUGGUUUUAAUCGACUUAAAAUUUUCUUUUUGUUUACAUGAACGUGUCUAAGAUUUAUUUCUGUACACGUUUAAGGGUAUCGAGGUUUAUUAGACGUGACCACCAUAUCGGAUCGCCUCCAUAAUCCUU
rnacentral:misc_RNA from 1 species